rnacentral:rRNA from 1 species
GGCGGACGGGUGAGUAAUGCCUAGGAAUCUGCCUGGUAGUGGGGGAUAACGUCCGGAAACGGGCGCUAAUACCGCAUACGUCCUGAGGGAGAAAGUGGGGGAUCUUCGGACCUCACGCUAUCAGAUGAGCCUAGGUCGGAUUAGCUAGUUGGUGGGGUAAAGGCCUACCAAGGCGACGAUCCGUAACUGGUCUGAGAGGAUGAUCAGUCACACUGGAACUGAGACACGGUCCAGACUCCUACGGGAGGCAGCAGUGGGGAAUAUUGGACAAUGGGCGAAAGCCUGAUCCAGCCAUGCCGCGUGUGUGAAGAAGGUCUUCGGAUUGUAAAGCACUUUAAGUUGGGAGGAAGGGCAGUAAGUUAAUACCUUGCUGUUUUGACGUUACCAACAGAAUAAGCACCGGCUAACUUCGUGCCAGCAGCCGCGGUAAUACGAAGGGUGCAAGCGUUAAUCGGAAUUACUGGGCGUAAAGCGCGCGUAGGUGGUUCAGCAAGUUGGAUGUGAAAUCCCCGGGCUCAACCUGGGAACUGCAUCCAAAACUACUGAGCUAGAGUACGGUAGAGGGUGGUGGAAUUUCCUGUGUAGCGGUGAAAUGCGUAGAUAUAGGAAGGAACACCAGUGGCGAAGGCGACCACCUGGACUGAUACUGACACUGAGGUGCGAAAGCGUGGGGAGCAAAC